rnacentral:rRNA from 1 species
UACGGGGGGGGCAAGCGUUGUUCGGAAUUAUUGGGCGUAAAAGGCUUGUAGGUGGCCACGCCAAGUCGGAUGUGAAAUCUCCCGGCUCAACUGGGAGGGGUCAUUCGAUACUGGCGGGCUCGAGGCCGGUAGGGGGAAGUGGAAUUCCCGGUGUAGUGGUGGAAUGCGUAGAUAUCGGGAGGAACACCAGUGGCGAAGGCGGCUUCCUGGACCGGUUCUGACACUGAGGAGCGAAAGCGUGGGGAGCGAUCCGG